UUCAUGAUUGAGUGACGAGAA
rnacentral:piRNA from 1 species